rnacentral:rRNA from 1 species
UACGUAGGGUGCAAGCGUUAAUCGGAAUUACUGGGCGUAAAGCGUGCGCAGGCGGUUAUGUAAGACAGAUGUGAAAUGCCCGGGCUUAACCUGGGAACUGCAUUUGUGACUGCAUGGCUAGAAUCUGGCAGAGGGGGGUAGAAUUCCACGUGUAGCAGUGAAAUGCGUAGAUAUGUGGAGGAACACCCGAUGGCGAAGGGCAGCCCCCUGGGUCAAGAUUGACGCUCAUGCACGAAAGCGUGGGGAGCAAACAGG